GUGUUCGCUGUCUCAGGACUUGGGUUCUAAUCUCAGCUCUACCUGGCUGUGCUGCCUUCCAGUCUAAACCGGCUCACAAGUUAACGGGAAGAAAGGGUCCACACUCUCUGACAAGCAAGAAACCUUUUGGGGCUGUCUUCUCUUAUUUACCUACACACCUACUUACAGCUAACCUAGCUUGUGAAAAAGGCAGUCAACAGGAACCAGAUGCUUUAAGUAACAAAAUGUUCUGACUCUCUCUUCCGUUCCCACUAUACUUCCCGGAAGAUGGGGGAAUGUUUACAGGGGUGCUGAUCAAGUCUGUGGAUCUACCACUGUGAAGUCACACAGACAAUGGGCAGGAUCCACAAAGACGGCCUUGAAUAAUACAUUUUAUCUGCUACCGAGACUAUGGGUUUCCUGGUCACACACGUCAUUGUUUCACGCUGUCAUCUCAGAUGAUAUACUACGAGCACAAUCAUGACGAGAAGAGAAAACGGAGGCCCAAGAAGCUGCGCUGCUUCUUCGUACUCGCCCAGCAGUGAAACCAAGCCUGGAAGCAUCUGCAGCGCAGCCUUUCUGCGCAGCUGGCCCCUUGGAAGGCUCUGCCCGUCUUUAAUGUGCGAAAGCGUACCUCACUCUUUCUGAAAAGUUCAGUAUGGUAAGCCGACUUCGACAGUUGGAAUGGAAGUGAAAAGGAAGGUGGUUACGCCACAGAAGAGGUAGUGGUUGUGGUGUUGAGCAUGGUACCCAUCAGAUUUCCUAAGGCUGCAACUCAGCGGGCCUAUUGGAUCCACCAGAAAAACCAAAGAUUCUUCCACAAGUCGGACGCGCACGCCACCUGGUGUACACUGGGAGUUGUUUCAAAAAGCAUAAUUCCAUAAAUCUUCAAAUUUCCACCCAAGACCCCUUACUGCCUUCCUAAAGUCACAGUCCCUGUUCGUCUCUGAAGAUCCACGGUCUCUUUAUAGUUAGGAAUCCGUCCAUUUGGGACACUUUACUUAUGAUCAGUGUUGUUUUAGUCUUUCUGUGAUAUAAUUAAAAAUGUUUUCUUCCAUGAUGACCUUUUAAAGUUUCUAAAAAGCUUUUUCUUUCUGCCUCCCCUUCACCCACAACCAGUGAAAUGUUGCUUUCGCAGGGGUUUUUUAUUUGGGCUCUUUGAAUCUUUUGUUUGAAGACAGAAUUCCAUGGCAACAAAAGGCUCCUCCCAGCUCCAAGAUUACAAAAUUCCCCUAAACGAUCCUGCUUUUGGUGAACGCCUCAGACUACUUUACUACGGGAAAGAGUUGGAUGGAACUUGCCUGGACGUGUUUAAUUACCUCGUUGUGAAUCACUGCUUUGAGAAUCACUGUAUCUCCGCUUCUGCCUUUAAGACGUAUCUUCUGAGCCAAGCUGAUGCUUUCCUGCUGGGUCCUGCUUUGCUUUCUUGUCCCUAAGCGGGUUGGGGAGUGGGAACAGAAGCUGCCUUUGUUUUUAGCCCGUUAUUUACAUGGUCAAGGGAGGGAGAACUCCUCGAGGGUGCUGGACUUCAUGAGUUUCCGACCUUAGUGACCUAAGGACUUUCCAGCAUUUCUUCCAAGGAUCCCUGUUUUGUAACAACAACCACACCCUCACUAAAGAACUGCCCUGUGACCUCCCGCUGAUGAGAAGCGUCGUUUAAGUGUAGUUCAGUACACUCAUUCUAGCACCCCUUGUACAGAAAUACAAUACAAAGAAAAUACAAAGAAACAAUACAAUACAAAGAAAACACGGCUUCUGCGCAAGGAUAAAUUUUUUACAUAUUUUUACAUAUUUCACAUAUGUAAAAUACGUAUUUGAUAAAUGUUAUAUUAAAGUAAGUAAAAGAAGGACGUGAAGGCAGAGGACAAAGUUUUGAGGGAGUGAGGAGUUAGAGGAAUGAUUUUGGUUGGAUAUGAUCAGAUACAUUGGAUAAGGGCUGGAGAGAUGGCUCAGUGGUUAAGAGCACUGGCUGUUCUUGCAGAGGACCGGGUUUAAUUCCCAGAACCCUCAUGGCAGUUCAUAACCAUCCGUAACUCCAGUUCCAGGGGGUCCAAUGCCCUCUUCUGACAUCUGAGAGUACCAGGCACACAUGUGGUGCAUUGUCAUACACAUGAGCAAUACACUCAUAUACUAAGAUAAAUCUAAAAUUGGAUUCAUGUAUGAAGUUAUUGAAUAAUAAAAUAUUUUUUAAAUAAAUGAAGAAUGGUUCAAAAUCACCAUUAUCUCUCUCUCUGAAAAACUAAAACAAGAAUUACCUACCACGGACUAGCCAAGUCAUCUGAGAGGUUUGCCUGUCUUUUGAAGCCAGUUUUAAUAUACAGGAAAACUGAAGAGCCUGUAAUAGAUGUUUUUUUAAUGCAACUAUUCCAGGAUCUUAGCGGGGGAAAUAGAGGGAUUUGGAAGUGUUGUUCAAUAGUACAAUAUCUGUAUAGCUGCAGGAGGCCCUGGUUUUCAUUUCCAGUACCACAAACACAAAUAAAACAAGUGGACAUUCAGUAUAUGACCACAACACUUUCAGAGGGAUGCAGUAGAAAAUGCCCCUGUGGCCACUCAGUUGUAGUUUUGUGAUAAAGCAGCUGCUGGAGGGUUGAGUUCAGGUUGAAAUCAUUUCAUUGCUAUGGGUUUCUUUGUAGCAAUAUGUACCGUGAUGCGUAUGAUGGCACAUGUAUCGCAAAACUGGAAUGCAUGUUUAAAAUAAACCAUUCAUGAGAAACUCA